GGGCAUUUGGUCUAGUGUCAUGAUUCGUGCUUGGGCUGUAAGAGGACUCGAGUCCAAUUCUCGGAAUGCCCC